rnacentral:rRNA from 1 species
UACGUAGGGUCCGAGCGUUGUCCGGAAUUAUUGGGCGUAAAGAGCUCGUAGGCGGCUUGUCGCGUCGAAUGUGAAAUCUCAGGGCUCAACUCUGACAUUGCAUUCGAUACGGGCAGGCUAGAGUUCGGUAGGGGAGACUGGAAUUCCUGGUGUAGCGGUGAAAUGCGCAGAUAUCGGGAAGAACACCCGUGGCGAAGGCGGUUCUCUGGGACGGUACUGACGCUGAGACGCGAAAGCGUGGGGAGCGAACAGG